rnacentral:rRNA from 1 species
CCUACGGGGGGCAGCAGUGAGGAAUAUUGGGCAAUGGGGGCAACCCUGACCCAGCCAUGCCGCGUGAGUGAAGAAGGUCUUCGGAUUGUAAAGCUCUUUCGGACGUGACGAUGAUGACGGUAGCGUCUAAAGAAGCACCGGCAAACUUCGUGCCAGCAGCCGCGGUAAUACGAAGGGUGCGAGCGUUGUUCGGAAUUACUGGGCGUAAAGGGAGUGUAGGCGGAUAUGUAAGAUAGCGGUGAAAUGCCGGGGCUCAACCCCGGAACUGCCAUUAUGACUAUGUAUCUAGAGUAAUGGAGAGGAUA